GACGGGGGGGGCAAGUGUUCUUCGGAAUGACUGGGCGUAAAGGGCACGUAGGCGGUGAAUCGGGUUGAAAGUGAAAGUCGCCAAAAAGUGGCGGAAUGCUCUCGAAACCAAUUCACUUGAGUGAGACAGAGGAGAGUGGAAUUUCGUGUGUAGGGGUGAAAUGCGUAGAUAUCGGGAGGAACACCAGUGGCGAAGGCGACUACCUGGCCUGUUCUUGACGCUGAGGCGCGAAAGCUAGGGGAGCAAACGGG
rnacentral:rRNA from 1 species